UACGAGGGGUGCAAACGUUGCUCGGAAUCAUUGGGCGUAAAGAGCGCGCAGGCGGCUGGCCAAGUCCGAUGUGAAAGCUCCCGGCUCAACUGGGAAAUUGCAUCGGAAACUGGUCGGCUUGAAGGUGGGAGAGGGUAGCGGAAUUCCCGGUGUAGUGGUGAAAUGCGUAGAUAUCGGGAGGAACACCAGUGGCGAAGGCGGCUACCUGGCCCAUUCUUGACGCUGAGGCGCGAAAGCUAGGGGAGCGAACGGG
rnacentral:rRNA from 1 species